CAAUGCAAUAGAGGUUGCGACAAUCACAAGAUAUUUCGGAGUCCGCGAAGACGCAGAAGAUUAUCUCAGGGUUGCCGCCGAAAUGGCUCUAGUAUUCGUGUACUAAGCCGUUGGGCUAUAGAACAAUAUUCUAUAGACUGUCCUGGUUAGUCCCCAGGGAGCGCUAUAAGAUUU
rnacentral:ncRNA from 2 species